AAACGAUAGAAAUAAUCUCCUCCUUCCCUACGUUUGGCGAACGGUUGAUAUCAGAUACCAGAUAAUUGGUGAUUUAUUCCUGUGAAAUACAAUUCUCGAGCUAUACGGCCCUGCUCCGAAGCUAACGGAAACGUUCGAUAAGCUCUUUUGAGAAAACUACUUGAUUUUCGUCAAGAGGAACAUUCCCCAUUCUCGAGCUACCUGUUGCUGCAAUGAGAUUAUCAUUAUUACUAGGACGUUGGAAGUGGACAGGAGAAUUGAAGUUGAUUGCUUUGCGACAUUCAGGCAGGCUAUUCAAAAACAAUUC